UUUUUACGUCUUCUCAUGCACUUAUACAUAUGUAUAAUUUUUAUAAAUCAAAAAUUUUUCAAUUUCUUAUUAUUACUUUUAUAUUUUAACUUUUAACUUUCACUUUCACACUAAAAGAGAGCGGAUGACGCAGGAGUAUGCGAUUAGCCAGCGGAACUUACAACAUCUCUGCGGACGGAUCAAAAAUAGCUAAUGAAGUGGGAGCCAGAAUUUAUUGCUCAUAGCUGGAUAAGGUCGUAGGUGAGCCGUCAAGCUUCCGUAAUACUGCAGUAUCUUGCAGGAAGUCUUUGCGGUCAGGAAAGUGGCUUAGACAGCUUAUAUAUAUAAUAAACAUCAAGAAGAUCAAUAUAUAUGUACGUCGAUAGCCAGGUGGUAAUUAAAGCAAUAAUCUCACAUCGCAUUACGUAUGUGAAUGUCCUUGGAAGCAAGGAGGCAUACAAAAGAAUUCCGGGAAACGAAAUAGCUGAUGUGAUUGCCAAAAGUGCUAUCAGUCUGGCUACUGAGUACCAGUAUUCGAAAUACGGAAGUCACUAAAAACUGUGAUAUACAGUGAAAUUUCCUAAGUGGCUGACAGACGGAUCAAGGCGACAUGUUGGCGUAAUGACAGGUCACAAUCUACUAUCAUCAAAUGCAAGCCGUAUGUGCAUUAUUAAGUGCAGGAAAGUAGGCAUAAGAGAGACGCUGGAGCCUAUGUUUCUGAAUUGGAGUUCAAGGGACUAGAUGAAGUGUCAAAAUUAGUCGUAUACCGAAUACUUCAGCUCAAAUUAAACUGAACCUCCAUCUGGCAUUAGGCCAGUAGGUCUAUGUAUGGCGUGUAAACCGGCCAGUAUAACCCAAACUAACCUUUACUAAUUUUGAGUUUUCUAUAAUAACAUUUUUUUAAAAAUAUUUUCAAUAUAUACAUAUAUACUAAUUUAUAUAAGGUAUUCGUUAUAUUUUUAUAUAUGUACGUUUAUGCUAUCAGUAAUUGUAAAUUACUGUUGGAGGUGUGCGAUAAAUCUGUACUUCUGUACUGCCACAUGUAUGUAUGUAUAUAUAUAUAUAUAUGGUAUACUAUAUAAACAGAUAUUGACUUUCGAGUGACAAGCCCUUGAAAUCUUAACAUGUGAACUGACUGGAAUCACGUACAACUAUUUCCUCGCUAUUUCUGAACGCCGUUCAACAGCAUCGCUUCGCCGGCGACCCGCCCACUUUCCAAACACGAUUGACAACACAUGCAAAUUGAAACUAACGUAAUCGUUGCACCGAUCAAAUGUUGACUAUCCGCCGAGUAAAAUGUAAAUGACAUACGGGCUCGUUUAUAUAAAUAUUUCCCCGAAAACAUACUACUUAAACUUGUUUCAAGUUGAUUUUGAACAACAUUCUCAAAUAUACAUAUGUAUGUAAGUCUAGAGAAACUGAUAAUAUUGAAAAGGUUUUGAAAUAUAGAUCUUCAGUUAAUAUCCUACAACUGGUAGCAAAUUGAAAUUAAACUGAAAUUCACCAAAAUGGGAAAUUAAGAGAGGUUUUCGAUUUAUGCGCUAAACCGAACUAUCCGAGCUCCAUUGAAAAAUUCCAUAAUACUUAGAAAGAAACCCAGUAGUUUUGAAAGCCAUCAUGGAAGAAGAAUUAAGGGCUACGAUUACAUGACAGCUAUGAUGAAUUUCUGUUGAAAUAAGAAAAAGGCGAAUCGGAGGUGGGACCAACUUUAUCAACUUAAGAAGAAGAACCAAGAAGAUAUGAAAGAAAUUGAUUAUGGUGUAAAGAAUAUUGCAAAAAAAAAGCGAAAAACUUAUUCAGAAGUAUUGGUUUACGCUAAAAAUAAAUAAAAAAUUACUAUAUCGAACAUAAAA